CACAUGCUCGCCACUAUCCCCACGCUGGAAGCUUGUUCGAACGCAAGCAAACGACAGGAGCUCAGAGAGGAUCUGUCCUCUCAGAGGUCCAAGCUAAAGUCCAUCAUGCAUGGUGUAGAGAGCCGGUAUGAAGAGAUUCCUGAUGAUAUCAGCAAACGGUUACAAGAAGUUCAACUGUCCCUACAGAGAGCAGAGGAGAAGCUCAUGGAGGGGAGCAGCCCGGGUCGCAAGCUGGCUGGUCGAAUGGUGGAGCUUUGUUCUGGCCUCAAG